rnacentral:rRNA from 1 species
CGGUCGGCCGCGUCGACAUAUGCUUUGCUCAAAGAUUAAGCCAUGCAUGUCUAAGUAUAAGCAAUUAUACCGUGAAACUGCGAAUGGCUCAUUAAAUCAGUUAUCGUUUAUUUGAUAGUACCUUACUACUUGGAUAACCGUGGUAAUUCUAGAGCUAAUACAUGCUGAAAACCCCAACUUCGGGAGGGGUGUAUUUAUUAGAUAAGAAACCAACGCCCUUCGGGGCUUCUUGGUGAUUCAUGAUAACUUCACGGAUCGCAUGGCCUUGCGCCGGCGACGGUUCAUUCAAAUUUCUGCCCUAUCAACUUUCGAUGGUAAGGUAUUGGCUUACCAUGGUUUCAACGGUAACGGGGAAUUAGGGUUCGAUUCCGGAGAGGGAGCCUGAGAAACGGCUACCACAUCCAAGGAAGGCAGCAGGCGCGCAAAUUACCCAAUCCCGACACGGGGAGGUAGUGACAAUAAAUACUGAUACAGGGCUCUUUUGGGUCUUGUAAUUGGAAUGAGUACAAUUUAAACCUCUUAACGAGGAACAAUUGGAGGGCAAGUCUGGUGUCGACGCGGCCG